GGUGGGUUGGUUCAGUGGUUACAGCGUAGGUCUCAUAACCGAAAGGUUGCGGGAUCGAAUCCCGCUGAGGCUG
rnacentral:tRNA from 1 species